UGAUAAUUCCCACAUCUGAGUCAUCUCAAGUUAUUUUUGGCAGAUUUUGAUGGAUGUACAUUGAUGGAUAGCCACGUGGAUCCAGAAAAUAAAGACUUCUACUCUGCAUUUGACUAAAGCAGAAGAUAUGCAAGGAAGCUCAGUCUCUCAAUUGAGUGGAUUCUGAAAUUUAUCCUGUUGUCUUCAGCUACUAAGGCUAAUUUGCAAAUCACACUGUGCACGGGGUGAAAUAGGAGCACUUAGGAAGCACUGCAAUGAAUUUACUGCUUAUUCAGCAUAUUGAUAGAGUCUUCUCUAAAACAACAAAAAGUGUUGACAGCAAACUGAAGAUCUUAAAGAAUGUGUGUGUCCCACCCCUGCAGUACUUCAGCAUUCUGAGGUAACAAGACAGUUGGCUUACUGCAUCUUAGAAAGGCUUAUUGAUUUUGUUAUUGCUACAACUAUCAUGGAAGCAGAGGCAGCAAUUUCUCAAGCCUAGUUCCAAAAGGAUUAAACCUGACAAAGAUUUAU
rnacentral:lncRNA from 10 species